AACUGUAGUAAAAUCAAAAACAAAACCAAUGUAAUUGUCUAAUUACUUUCGACACUCAACUGAAAACCACUCUAUCUACGUGAUGGCAAGUAAUUAUAAUCUUGCGAUCGGAACCAUUCCAGUAAGUGCCACGCAGACUUACUUAAUUAAGAUAUUUACCAUAUCUUGUAUUGUUAGUUGUGACUUAGCCUAGUGCAAAGCUGACAGUGCUAUGUAUUCUUAAGAUAUUUAUCAUAUCUUGUAUUGUUAUUUGGGCUUAGAAGGGGCCAAAAGUCAGACUUAAAGCAAGGACAAUUAAUGGCAUUUUAUUGUCUGUUGCCAGGUGAUGAAUGAGGAAAUUACAAUGAAAAGUGUUUGUGAAAAUCGAAACCAUUUCUUGUGAGGAUUUGAAGCAUUUUGAAAUUCAGAAGUUGUUCAGUUUCAAUCUAGAAGUUUGUACUGGGUUAUUGCAGCGGUUGAGUUAGCAAUCGAUACGCACUGCUGCUUUCAUCUAAAGGUGAUUGCCAUUCAAGGUUAAUACAAGGGGCAAUGAUGAUAAGUGCAGGAGAAAUUCCAUUGUUUCUUCUUGGAGCGAUGAUGCUGUGCCACUCCACUAAAGCUUCACAGUUAGAAAUACAAGCGUUCCAGCCAGCGGUUGUUCCUAUAAGAGCAACCACAACCCUGACACUCAAAACCAACGGAGAACUGAAUGUGACAUCAAACAGAAAAAUUCAAUGUCGAUUCAAAGACAUCUCCGUGCCGGCCAGAAUUGAAGAUGAUUUUAUCUUUUGUGACACGCCUCCGAUGAGAAAUGUCGACAGAGUGUCUGUUCAUCUUAAUGUCGAUGGCAAGCUGUUCAAGGCAAAAAAGCCUCUCUACUUUCAUGGUGGGUAUAAAUAGUUGUUAUAGUUUAGCCAAGAUUCAUUUGUUUAUAUAAUAUAAAACCAAAUAGGAAGACUUUGUAAAACAACCUACAAUAAUGCGUAUUGUCACAAUAACUACAUUUCACCUUAAAUGUGCAGGUGGCUGGCUUUGAAACAAGCUUAUGCAACUCUUGAUAGAAGACGGUUUUACAGUUUUACAGUGGCCUCUUAUAGUUUAGCGGCUGCACGCGCGGCAAUAAACACAAACAAAUCAAGUGACAUUAGAUUUAAGUAAAGAUGCGUUUUUAGUCGGAAAUUGUCUGAUUCAACAUGAUCCGGAUGUUUUUAAAUUAUCCUCAAGAGGAGUUGCAAUCGCUUUUUAUCAUCACCAUAGAUUGCCGUGUUUUCCUUGGUCAAAAAUAUUCGAAAGAUACAUUUUGUUAUGUUAGCGCUAGGGACAAAAAUUGUUCGAAUAAAUAUUUACUUGUAUAAAUACUGUUAUUGCUGUCUUUGAAUGCAGUCUGAAAUUGGAGUCACGUUUGUAAGAGUUAAGAUCGUUUCAAUAUUCGACGGAACACUCACCAAUUCUUACGCUUUUAUCCUACUAAUCUAAUGUAUGUUUCCUAUCUUUUGGUUGAGGUGUUUGUGGAAUUUGUAACUAAACUGAAAUCUUUUGAAGGCUUGAACUGAAACUAGGUGAUGACUAAGUACUGAAACCAUUUCACUUGAUUUACUCAAUUGCUUUAAUUACUAGACGCUCUUUUGUUGUUGUUGUUGUUGUUCAAUCUACUCGGCUGUAAUCCUAUUUUUACUUCACUACAAUCUGAUGUUUUAUCAACUAAAGAUUUUAUUAAAACAGCAACAUUGAAUUACAUCAGCAUAGAAAUAAAUUAGCUACAGCUAGAUGAAAUUAAUGCAACUUAAUUAACAUCCAUGUGAUAAAUUCAGUAUUAUAUCUUUUUAUACAGAUACAUCAUUUCAGGCUUAUACUUGUUGCAAUGUCAACUAAUUUGCUUGCGUCUUAAUUAUAUAAAGAAGUCCUCUGUUAUUUCAACCAUGUGCCUAUCAGUGGAGGUGGCGUGGCCGAGUGGUUUAGGGUGAAAUCUGGAGGUUUCUGCUUCAAAUCCUCCACCCUACUGCUAUCUGGAUUUGUUCUCAGUUGCGGCCACUUGCCCCAAGUUCAACUCCU